rnacentral:rRNA from 1 species
GACGAACGCUGGCGGCGUGCCUAAUACAUGCAAGUAGAACGCAGUUGCGAACGGGUGAGUAACGCGUAGGUAACUGCCUCAUAGCGGGGGAUAACUAUUGGAAACGAUAGCUAAUACCGCAUACUGUGAGAGGGACCUGCGUUGUGUUAGCUAGUUGGUGAGGUAAAGGCUCACAAAGGCGACGAUACACAGCCGACCUGAGGGGGAGAGCGGGCACACUGGGACUGCGACACGCCCCAGACGCCUACGGGAGGCAGCAGUAGGGAAUCGUCGGGAAUGGGCGGAAGUCUGACCGAGCAACGCCGCGUGAGUGACGGAGGUUUUCGGAUCGUAAAGCUAUGUUGUUAGAGAAGCGGUAACUAACGAGAAAGGGACGGCUAACUACGUGCCAGCAGCCGCGGUAAUUC